UACGAGGGGUGCAAGCGUUACUGGGAAUUACUGGGCGUAAAGCGUGCGUAGGUGGUUCGUUAAGUCUGUCGUGAAAGCCCCGGGCUCAACCUGGGAAUGGCGAUGGAUACUGGCGGGCUAGAGUGCGGUAGAGGAGAGUGGAAUUCCCGGUGUAGCGGUGAAAUGCGUAGAUAUCUGGAGGAACACCGGUGGCGAAGGCGGCAUCCUGGACCGGCAUUGACGCUGAGGCGCGAAAGCCAGGGGAGCAAACGGG
rnacentral:rRNA from 1 species